AUAUAUAAGAUUAUAUAUCUACUUCUAAUAUAUAAUAUGGAAUUGUUACGAAAACAAGUGUUCGGCAUCAUAUUGGCAUAAAAUGUAUCGAGAAAGGCAAAAUAUU